AGGGUUUGAUCCUGGCUCAGAACGAACGUUGGCGGCGUGGAUUAGGCAUGCAAGUCGAACGAAUCCCACCUGGGCAACUGGGUGGGGGAAGUGGCGAAAGGGGCAGUAAGGCGUGGGUAACCUACCCCGGGGACGGGCCUAGCCGUCCUAACGGACGGGUAAUUCCCGGCGAUCCGGCGGAGGGGCAUCUCUCGGUCGGGAAAUGAAUUUCGCCUCGGGAGGGGCUCACGUAGUAUUAGCUGGUUGGUGAGGUGACGGCCCACCAAGGCGAAGAUGCUUAGCGGGUGUGAGAGCACGACCCGCGCCACUGGCACUGAGACACUGGCCAGACUCCUACGGGAGGCUGCAGUCGAGGAUCUUCGGCAAUGGGCGCAAGCCUGACCGAGCGACGCCGCGUGAGCGAUGAAGGCCUUCGGGUUGUAAAGCUCUGUCGAGGGGGAUAAAGCCGCAAGGUUGAUUGAUCCCUGGAGGAAGCACGGGCUAAGUUCGUGCCAGCAGCCGCGGUAAGACGAACCGUGCGAACGUUGUUCGGAAUCACUGGGCUUAAAGGGCGCGUAGGCGGUCUGCCAAGUCCGGGGUGAAAGCCCCCAGCUCAACUGGGGAAGUGCCUUGGAUACUGGCGGACUCGAGGGAGGCAGGGGUUGUGGGAACUUCCGGUGGAGCGGUGAAAUGCGUUGAUAUCGGAAGGAACGCCGGUGGCGAAAGCGACCCGCUGGACCUCUUCUGACGCUGAGGCGCGAAAGCCAGGGGAGCAAACGGGAUUAGAUACCCCGGUAGUCCUGGCCCUAAACGAUGGGUACUAGAUAGCGGACUGGACAUGGGUUCGCUGUCGAAGCAAAAGUGCUAAGUACCCCGCCUGGGGAGUAUGGUCGCAAGGCUGAAACUCAAAGGAAUUGACGGGGGCUCACACAAGCGGUGGAGCAUGUGGCUUAAUUCGAGGCUACGCGAAGAACCUUAUCCCGGACUUGACAUGUGCGAAAGCGCUGGGAGGUAGGACCCGGAAACGGGGACGAACGGUAUCCAAUCCGGAACCCAGUACAGGUGCUGCAUGGCUGUCGUCAGCUCGUGUCGUGAGAUGUCGGGUUAA
rnacentral:rRNA from 1 species